CGGAAUAAAGACUAAUUGGUUGAGUUGCCUUGUUUGGGUCAAGGAGAUUGUGGGUUCGAGACCUACUAUUCCGA